GUCUGACGUCACUGCCUUAGCUAACCUUGCCUAAACGUCUCGGUGUCUGAAUGUAUGAUAUAAAUGAAAUCUUGGACGACUUGGAAGUAAAAGAGAAAGGUUGUAGACCUGGCCUACCAUAUCAGAAGCUCCUAGUUACGUCGAUAUGAACCGAAGAACAUCUCGUACACGUUAUAAUUCAAUACAUGUGAUAGUCCGAAUGAAGAAGCAUAGGCGAAAGACCCAAUGUGACUGAUCGAUCUGACGUCGAGCAACCCUCUUGCUGCUGAUAAAACGCCGCUUACAGUAAUGACGGAUGAGGGGAUUUCCCUUCUCCGCGGGUGUCACGAGCCUGCGUUUGUCCC